rnacentral:rRNA from 1 species
GACAGAGGGUGCAAGCGUUGUUCGGAAUUACUGGGCGUAAAGCGCGUGUAGGCUGCUUCGAAAAUCGGAUGUGAAAGCCCUGGGCUCAACCUAGGAAGUGCAUUCGAAACUUCGAAGCUGGAAUCCUGGAGAGGAAGGCGGAAUUCUCGGUGUAGAGGUGAAAUUCGUAGAUAUCGAGAGGAACACCGGUGGCGAAGGCGGCCUUCUGGACAGUGACUGACGCUGAGACGCGAAAGCGUGGGGAGCAAACAGG